rnacentral:rRNA from 1 species
AUUGAACGCUGGCGGCAGGCUUAACACAUGCAAGUCGAGCGGAGAUGAGGUGCUUGCACCUUAUCUUAGCGGCGGACGGGUGAGUAAUGCUUAGGAAUCUGCCUAUUAGUGGGGGACAACAUCCCGAAAGGAAUGCUAAUACCGCAUACGCCCUACGGGGGAAAGCAGGGGAUCUUCGGACCUUGCGCUAAUAGAUGAGCCUAAGUCGGAUUAGCCAGUUGGUGGGGUAAAGGCCUACCAAGGCGACGAUCUGUAGCGGGUCUGAGAGGAUGAUCCGCCACACUGGGACUGAGACACGGCCCAGACUCCUACGGGAGGCAGCAGUGGGGAAUAUUGGACAAUGGGCGGAAGCCUGAUCCAGCCAUGCCGCGUGUGUGAAGAAGGCCUUUUGGUUGUAAAGCACUUUAAGCGAGGAGGAGGCUACCUGGAUUAAUACUCUAGGAUAGUGGACGUUACUCGCAGAAUAAGCACCGGCUAACUCUGUGCCAGCCGCCGCGGUAAGAC